UCGAGCGAGUCUGCCUUGAAGAUCGGAGUGCUUGCACUCUGUGAAACAAGAUACAGGCUAGCGGCGGACGGGUGAGUAACACGUGGGUAACCUGCCCAAGAGAUCGGGAUAACACCUGGAAACAGAUGCUAAUACCGGAUAACAACAGAUGAUGCCUAUCAACUGUUUAAAAGAUGGUUCUGCUAUCACUCUUGGAUGGACCUGCGGUGCAUUAGCUAGUUGGUAGGGUAACGGCCUACCAAGGCGAUGAUGCAUAGCCGAGUUGAGAGACUGAUCGGCCACAUUGGGACUGAGACACGGCCCAAACUCCUACGGGAGGCAGCAGUAGGGAAUCUUCCACAAUGGACGCAAGUCUGAUGGAGCAACGCCGCGUGAGUGAAGAAGGGUUUCGGCUCGUAAAGCUCUGUUGUUGGUGAAGAAGGACAGGGGUAGUAACUGACCUUUGUUUGACGGUAAUCAAUUAGAAAGUCACGGCUAACUACGUGCCAGCAGCCGCGGUAAUACGUAGGUGGCAAGCGUUGUCCGGAUUUAUUGGGCGUAAAGCGAGUGCAGGCGGCUCGAUAAGUCUGAUGUGAAAGCCUUCGGCUCAACCGGAGAAUUGCAUCAGAAACUGUCGAGCUUGAGUACAGAAGAGGAGAGUAGAACUCCAUGUGUAGCGGUGAAAUGCGUAGAUAUAUGGAAGAACACCGGUGGCGAAGGCGGCUCUCUGGUCUGUUACUGACG
rnacentral:rRNA from 1 species